UACAGAGGGUGCAAGCGUUGCUCGGAAUCAUUGGGCGUAAAGGGUAGGUAGGUGGUCUCAUUUGUCUGGGGUGAAAGCCCAGGGCUUAACCCUGGAAGUGCCCCGGAAACGGUGAGACUGGAGUACUGGAGAGGGUCGUGGAAUUCCCGGUGUAGCGGUGAAAUGCGUAGAUAUCGUAAGGAAGACCAGUGGCGAAGGCGGGUCUCUGGACAGUUCCUGACGCUGAGGCACGAAGGUCAGGGGAGCAAACGGG
rnacentral:rRNA from 1 species